GAUGAACGCUAGCGACAGGCUUAACACAUGCAAGUCGAGGGGCAGCGGGGGUAGCAAUACCCGCCGGCGACCGGCGCACGGGUGAGUAACGCGUAUGCAACUUACCUAUCAGAGGGGGAUAACCCGGCGAAAGUCGGACUAAUACCGCAUGAAGCAGGGAUCCCGCAUGGGAAUAUUUGCUAAAGAUUCAUCGCUGAUAGAUAGGCAUGCGUUCCAUUAGGCAGUUGGCGGGGUAACGGCCCACCAAACCGACGAUGGAUAGGGGUUCUGAGAGGAAGGUCCCCCACAUUGGUACUGAGACACGGACCAAACUCCUACGGGAGGCAGCAGUGAGGAAUAUUGGUCAAUGGCCGAGAGGCUGAACCAGCCAAGUCGCGUGAGGGAUGAAGGUUCUAUGGAUCGUAAACCUCUUUUAUAAGGGAAUAAAGUGCGGGACGUGUCCCGUUUUGUAUGUACCUUAUGAAUAAGGAUCGGCUAACUCCGUGCCAGCAGCCGCGGUAAUACGGAGGAUCCGAGCGUUAUCCGGAUUUAUUGGGUUUAAAGGGUGCGUAGGCGGCCUUUUAAGUCAGCGGUGAAAGUCUGUGGCUCAACCAUAGAAUUGCCGUUGAAACUGGGGGGCUUGAGUAUGUUUGAGGCAGGCGGAAUGCGUGGUGUAGCGGUGAAAUGCAUAGAUAUCACGCAGAACCCCGAUUGCGAAGGCAGCCUGCCAAGCCAUGACUGACGCUGAUGCACGAAAGCGUGGGGAUCAAACAGGAUUAGAUACCCUGGUAGUCCACGCAGUAAACGAUGAUCACUAGCUGUUUGCGAUACACUGUAAGCGGCACAGCGAAAGCGUUAAGUGAUCCACCUGGGGAGUACGCCGGCAACGGUGAAACUCAAAGGAAUUGACGGGGGCCCGCACAAGCGGAGGAACAUGUGGUUUAAUUCGAUGAUACGCGAGGAACCUUACCCGGGUUUGAACGCAUUCGGACCGAGGUGGAAACACCUUUUCUAGCAAUAGCCGUUUGCGAGGUGCUGCAUGGUUGUCGUCAGCUCGUGCCGUGAGGUGUCGGCUUAAGUGCCAUAACGAGCGCAACCCUUGCCACUAGUUACUAACAGGUAAAGCUGAGGACUCUGGUGGGACUGCCAGCGUAAGCUGCGAGGAAGGCGGGGAUGACGUCAAAUCAGCACGGCCCUUACAUCCGGGGCGACACACGUGUUACAAUGGCGUGGACAAAGGGAAGCCACCUGGCGACAGGGAGCGAAUCCCCAAACCACGUCUCAGUUCGGAUCGGAGUCUGCAACCCGACUCCGUGAAGCUGGAUUCGCUAGUAAUCGCGCAUCAGCCAUGGCGCGGUGAAAUACGUUCCCGGGCCU
rnacentral:rRNA from 1 species